rnacentral:rRNA from 1 species
AAACUUUUAACAACGGAUUUCUUGGUUCUGGCAUCGAUGAAGAACGCAGCGAAAUGCGAUAAGUAAUGUAAUUGCAGAAUUCAGUGAAUCAUCGAAUCUUUGAACGCACAUUGCGCCCCCUGGUAUUCCGGGGGGCAUGCCUGUUCGAGCGUCAUUU